UUCAUUUACCACCCCCCACACACCCCUCCAUCUUGUCUUGGCCCCGCCCCCUAGGAGGGACCCACAGAGGACCAGCCCCCGCAAGCCACGCCUGCCAGGGGGGCGACAUGCGGGACCCUUUCCUAGCCGCUGGCGACUCCCUAGUGGCCCUGGCAUCACCUCACCUGAGGUCUGAGGGCCUCCUGUCCGGCUCCCAGAACAAGCACAGGUAAAGAAUGUCACCCACAAACGUGUGACAGCUAUCCCUUCCCAAUCGAAGAUAGGCUGGUGGGUAGCAGGAUGGUGCGCUGUCUGCUGCGGCAUCUGAGGACCAAACUUGCUACCUCCAGAGUAUGGGGCUGACGCGCUCCCCACUGCACAGACCAGGCUUGCGGAGGCCGCGCCUCACCUGGAGUGCCUUCAGAUGUGUCUGCCGUCCCAAGGAUGGCCCUAAGGACCAUCCCCCAUGGUCCCGAGGACCUCCCACCUCAACCUUCCCCUGAGGACAGCUGCAGGGACUGGCCCUCAGGAUUCCCCAAAUACACCUUCCUCCCCAGGAAACCCCACCCCCACCCCCUGGAAAGCUCCAGAUGACCCCUAAGGAAUGCUGCACACAGAAGGCAUGAUUAAGUGGCAGGAGGAACCAGUGCCAAUUGUUAAAGCUCUACAAACUAGUUGUUUCCAGAGAGAAGGGCUGGGGGUGUGGACCCAACUCCGUUCCGGUCAGACUUACUUCAAUGACCCGAAGUGCUGCAGAAGUUGCCCAGAAUCCAAAGCACAGGUGGCAAACACAAGGCGACCCUCUACCUUGUUUCUACCAGCGGCAGCGCUGAGCUCCUUGCCCCUAGUUAAGGAGUAGUUACAUUAUACAGUCCUAAAAUUACAUUUGGCCCUUUGAAGGCAACUGUGAGGCUGAUGUGGCCCCCGGUGAAAAUGAGUUUGACACCCCUGGUCUAAAUGGAAGCUAAGAAUCCACAGGCCACCCCAGUGUUUCUGGUCAGUGUGGGGUCUUGCUAAUCUAGUAAAAA